rnacentral:lncRNA from 1 species
GAUCAAGGGGAUUGGAGAGGAGCUUCAUGCUUCGAGUCGGGGAAGAAAAGAUGGAGAAUUGGAUUUUUCUUCUUCAUAGAGUUUUGGGAAGACUGAGGCAAUCGUUGCUGAAGUCAGUGUUGUAAUGGUGAAUCGAGAUUUUUUUUAAUGAAGUGGGUUUGAUUACUCUUGACUGUUUUGUGAAAUCGAGUUACGUCUAUGAUUGAAGGAUUAAAAGGGUGUCUAUAGGAUUGAGUAUGUGGAGUGAAUGAAAUUUAUUGGGUUAAUCUAACAAGACAGUCAGUGGAUACAAGAUCGUAAGUACAAAGCGGUAUCGGAGAUUAG